UACAGAGGGGGCAAGCGUUGUUCGGAAUUACUGGGCGUAAAGGGCGCGUAGGCGGCCUUCUAAGUCGAACGUGAAAUCCCCGGGCUCAACCCGGGAACUGCGUCCGAGACUGAAAGGCUCGAAUCCGGGAGAGGGAUGUGGAAUUCCAGGUGUAGCGGUGAAAUGCGUAGAUAUCUGGAGGAACAUCGGUGGCGAAGGCGGCAUCCUGGACCGGUAUUGACGCUGAGGCGCGAAAGCCAGGGGAGCGAACAGG
rnacentral:rRNA from 1 species